rnacentral:rRNA from 1 species
CCUACGGGGGGCUGCAGUCGAGAAUCUUCGGCAAUGGGCGCAAGCCUGACCGAGCGACGCCGCGUGGGGGACGAAGGCCUUCGGGUUGUAAACCCCUGUCGAGGGAGAACAAGGCAUCAUGAAGAAUGAUGCUCGAGUGACCCCUGGAGGAAGCACGGGCUAAGUUCGUGCCAGCAGCCGCGGUAAGACGAACCGUGCGAACGUUAUUCGGAAUCAUUGGGCUUAAAGGGCGCGUAGGCGGGCAGGCGCGUCGGAGCUGAAAUCCCCCGGCUCAA